rnacentral:rRNA from 1 species
UACAGAGGGGGCAAGCGUUGUUCGGAAUUACUGGGCGUAAAGGGCGCGUAGGCGGCCUGCUAAGUCGAACGUGAAAUCCCUGGGCUCAACCCAGGAACUGCGUCCGAUACUGGUUGGCUUGAAUUCGGGAGAGGGAUGUGGAAUUCCAGGUGUAGCGGUGAAAUGCGUAGAUAUCUGGAGGAACACCGGUGGCGAAGGCGGCAUCCUGGACCGAUAUUGACGCUGAUGCGCGAAAGCGUGGGGAGCAACGGG